rnacentral:misc_RNA from 1 species
UGGAUCCCGACCCUCACAUUAUCCACAUACACUUGUGCACUGUUGGUUGGGUGUGAACCUUUGGUUUAUCGCCCGCCAACGCCAAUUAUACAAACUCUGAGAACUAUGAAUGUGAAUUUAACUUGCCAAUUUUUGGCGAAAUUAAAUACAACUUUCGACAACGGAUCUCUUGGUUCUCCCAUCGAUGA